rnacentral:rRNA from 1 species
GACGAACCGUGCGAACGUUAUUCGGAAUCACUGGGCUUAAAGCGCGUGUAGGCGGGCCGGCACGUCGGUGCUGAAAGCCCCCGGCUCAACCGGGGAACGGGCGCCGAUACGACCGGCCUGGAGGGGCGUAGGGGGACCGGGAACUUCCGGUGGAGCGGUGAAAUGCGUUGAGAUCGGAAGGAACGCCCGUGGCGAAAGCGCGGUCCUGGACGCCUGCUGACGCUGAGACGCGAAAGCCAGGGGAGCGAACGGG